rnacentral:rRNA from 1 species
AUUGAACGCUGGCGGCAGGCCUAACACAUGCAAGUCGAACGGUAACAGGAAGAAGCUUGCUUCUUUGCUGACGAGUGGCGGACGGGUGAGUAAUGUCCGGGAAACUGCCUGAUGGAGGGGGAUAACUACUGGAAACGGUAGCUAAUACCGCAUAACGUCGCAAGACCAAAGAGGGGGACCUUCGGGCCUCUUGCCAUCGGAUGUGCCCAGAUGGGAUUAGCUAGUAGGCGGGGUAACGGCUCACCCAGGCGACGAUCCCUAGCUGGUCUGAGAGGAUGACCAGCCACACUGGAACUGAGACACGGUCCAGACUCCUACGGGAGGCAGCAGUGGGGAAUAUUGCACAAUGGGCGCAAGCCUGAUGCAGCCAUGCCGCGUGUAUGAAGAAGGCCUUCGGGUUGUAAAGUACUUUCAGCGGGGAGGAAGGGAGUAAAGUUAAUACCUUUGCUCAUUGACGUUACCCGCAGAAGAAGCACCGGCUAACUCCGUG